rnacentral:rRNA from 1 species
GACAGAGGGUGCAAACGUUUGUUCGGAAUUACUGGGCGUAAAGCGCGUGUAGGCGGCUUGGCAAGUCGGGUGUGAAAGCCCUGGGCUCAACCCAGGAAGUGCACUCGAAACUGCUUCGCUCGAGUAUCGGAGAGGAAAGCGGAAUUCUCGGUGUAGAGGUGAAAUUCGUAGAUAUCGAGAGGAACACCGGUGGCGAAGGCGGCUUUCUGGGCCGUAACUGACGCUGAGGAGCGAAAGCGUGGGGAGCGAACAGG